rnacentral:misc_RNA from 1 species
UCUCUCUGAAGAAGAGCCAAUAAGAAAGAAAAUGGAUCAUACUGAGGCAGCCAAUUCUAACAAUAACUCAACUUCUCCUUCUUCUUCAUCUUCCCCGCCGCCGCCACUGCCACCAGCGGUGGUUCUUAGUCCUUGCGCAGCUUGUAAGAUUCUCAGGCGAAGAUGCGCUGAGAAAUGCGUCUUGGCUCCGUAUUUUCCUCCGACUGAACCGGCAAAGUUCACAAUUGCUCAUCGCGUGUUCGGUGCUAGCAACAUCAUUAAGUUCUUACAGGAACUACCAGAAUCUCAAAGAGCUGAUGCAGUGAGCAGCAUGGUUUAUGAGGCAAGUGCAAGGAUCAGAGAUCCUGUUUAUGGCUGUGCUGGGGCGAUUUGCCAUCUUCAGAAACAGGUUAAUGAGCUCCAAGCACAAUUAGCUAAAGCGCAAGCUGAGCUUGUUAAUAUGCAAUGCCAGCAGGCUAAUCUUGUGGCCUUACUUUGCAUGGAAAUGGCACAAUCUCCUCAACAAUCGUCGGAACAAUCAGUCGACAACUUCAUUAGCACCCCACAGAGCUACCAGAGCAAUCCUGGCUUCUUGGAGGACAACAACAAUUUCGGGUCACUGUGGGAGCCUCUUUGGACAUAAUUAAUUGUUAUCAUCAUAGCCAAAAUAUCUACAGCUUAAAUUAUGAUAAUUAAUGUACCAAUGAAGUUCUCCUAACUCAGGAGUGUCUCCCUAAAUGAGAAGGAGAAAUCCAGGGACAUUAAUUUUAAUAAAUUUUAAUUAACUUAAUUAUAAUAUCUAGGUUUAUAGGUAAUUAAGUGUGAUGAUCAACUGGGAGGGGAAUUAAGUGUAAGCUCUAGGAUCUAAUCUCUUUGUUAAAGCUAGGCAAAGUAGAUUGGGCUUUGAAUUUCCUCCAUGUAAUCUUUAAUUUUCUAUAUAAAUUAGGAGAGAAAAUGAAAGAAGAUGCCUUUAUUUUCAGUCUAAUUGUGGUUUACUCUCUACUGUUUACUGAAUCUAAAUCAAAGCAAUUACUUUAUGGUCACCUACUAUCAUUACUUAAAAAUUGAUGUUUCAGCAAUG